CCCAGGGGGGUCAGAAAGGGUUAACGUGUUUCCUCCCAGAACGAGGACGAGUCUCUGCUCCCUGACGAAGCGGCUCUGGCCCGGAGCGAAGCGCCUCAUUCAUGUUUCUGCUCUUUUGAGGUGGAAAAGGUGAUCAGAAGACAGGAUUAGCAGGCAGAUAAAUGGAUGCUCGUGACGUUUCUCACCCGAACAACAGCCGUGCUAGAGGGGGAGACGAAGCAUGAGGCCUCGCCUGUGUGCCGUUGCCUUCUUUUGACGCCACAGUUCGGGAUGAAUAGGAACCAGCACCAGUUCAGAUAUCAUUAUGUUUAGCCCCGAAGGUAGAACAACCGAGUUAGAGCUCUGCUUUGCUCCUCAAGAUGUACAUGACAGUUGAGAACUGGCGGCUGAGACGAGACAUGAAAGUGCGACUGCCGCGGAGUGACAGGACGGCAACCGCGAAGUGACCACAAACACAACAGCCAUAGCAGAAAAGGAUGAUAAAUUACCACCAUGGAUUUCAACAGAAAAACACGAUCCAGCCGUAUGUAUGGAGCUCAUUGGACGCCCGAGGGCAAAAUAAAAAUGGAGGUUGUUAAAAAACAUUCCCACAGCUUAAUAAACCAUGCAUGCUUAUUUGCUCUGAGCCAUAAUUCUGUUGGAGAACGAGCAAUAGAUCAUUACCGGGGUUCAGUGAAGUUGAAAACUUGGACAAAUUCUUGCUUCCAGGCUCUAUAAAUUAGAUGGAAAAAAGACAACCGAACUACUGUGAAACCUCCAACGUCACCUUCUCUCCACAGUAGAAAAGGUGACUGCAUUGUGUCUCUGUCAGGUUGUUGCAACAUCAAUCAGAGUCAGUAUUGGAUUACUUCCUAGGAAAUUUUAACAAAUCAGGAGAAGGAUGAAACAAAAGUAAUAAAAAACCUGAAUGGUGAGGCGACAUUGACAGUAAUUUAUUAGUAGUAGCAGUUUAUUACUAAAAGCAGAGGUUUUACUAGCAGUAUUGCUAUAUUGUUAUUAUUUUACUUUAAUAAACUUAUACUAAGCGUAUAAGUUUAUUAAAGUAAAAUAAUUAGCUUUGAGCUUUGCACUGUCUUCCAAAGACAUUAAAGACGGAGACACAGAGGCCCAUUUUCCACAUGGCAAUGAUCACUUUCUGCACUAAAAAUAAUUUUAAAAAAGCAUUUUAAAUCUUUUUCUUCUUUUUUUAUACAUGUCUCACUCUUUUCUGACUGUCUUAAACAGAUAGGCUGAAUAAACUCAAGACCGAAAAGGUCAAAGGAAACAUGAGCUGCGAUUGUUUCACCUGCUUUGCCGCCUUCUUUGGAAUUUGGAUGUUGCUACUUUUGACAAUCUGCCAUCUCCUGGUGCAGGCUGGGUAUUGCAGUGUUGCAAAUUGGCAGCUUGGAGACUGUGUAUGCUAAGAGAUAAAAAAAAAACAAAAAAAACAAAGGGAAACAAAAAGGGAGAUUUCAACAAAGUUUUGUGUGUGAGUAGCUGGGAUCUUGAUGUUGACCAAUAGGAGAGAAUCUGACUCUCCACCAGGCUCCCCAUCCCUCCCUUUCACCUUUUUACACCUCAAGUCUUGCAGAGUCUAAAGGAGAAAAAAAGAAAAUGGAGAUUUAAAAAAAAGAUAUCUGUAAAUAAACAAGCAAAGGAGAAAUUAGAGGUGAGAAAAUCAAUGUACGAUAAAAGUGUAAAAACAACAAACAAAAAAACAAGUAUUAAAUACCAAAUCUGAAAAAAUUAAUUAAAAUGAUAAGUCUGGAACAGAAAAAAAUACAUUAUUAAUAUAUUAUUAUUUUGUUUGUAUUGUAUUUAUUUCUCUCUAGUUAGAAAUGUGGCAGGAUCAGUCCUCCAUACACAUUCCUUCCUGUCAUGAAUGAAACUUUCUGUUCUGUUUUUGCAGCAUGUAGCUUUUACAAAAAUAUGCUGCCGCUUCAACAUAAACUACUUCUAUUUACAAAAUUAUUGUAAAUUGCACAGUGAAGAGUAAUUAUUAUACUGAUCUCGGUCACAUUAUGCUCCAUUCCUCCAAAUAAAACAACAAUUUUAGGAUGCAUGUUUUAAUGCUGCUAAAAAUCUUUACACUCAGAAAGAGGGUGACUUGAUUUCAUCUUAUAUUUUGUGUAGGUUUGUGCAUCUAUACAAUUAUUUAUGGUUUGGCAUGUCACUUCCAUCCAUUGUUUGUGGGGGGAGUGUGACCCAUGAAAUCUGAACUCAAACGGCAGCUGUGAUUUUACGCUUUAGCCUCCAAGAAGAAAUAAAGAUGUCAUUCUUUCAUUCAU